rnacentral:misc_RNA from 1 species
CUUCUGCAGUGUACACUUACCGAAGCCUCUGCAGCCGCGCAAGCGGUAGGCCCGAGCGACUCUCUAAACAAGUCGGCGCCGUUGCAAGUCCCAGGGCUUUCCCUCCCGGAAAGCCCCCGGGGCGACACUCUCGAAUUGACGGGGACACCCUAAAGCCAGUCGCGCCAACCCGCCGGGAGAAAUCCCUCGGGGGCCUGUGUUAACCGCACAGGGUACGGUAACAGACGAUCUGGAUACUUCUGCCUCCCGCAGAGACCAUGGGCAAUCCGCAGCGAAGCCCCUAAAGCCCUCACGGGCCAUGGGGAACGUUCACAGACUAAGUGUGAGUGGGUGGAGGCCGAGCCUCCGCUUAAGAUAUAGUCGGGCUCCCCGAGAGAUCGGGGGGACAAGUACACUGAACUUCAAGCCGUUCCGUAGGUGAACCUGCGGAAGGAUCAUUACUGAGUGCGGGUUCGAACGAGCCCAACCUCCCACCCGUGUCUACUGUUACCGCGUUGCUUCGGCGGGCCCACUGGGGCCUCGCCCCGGUCGCCGGGGGGUUCUUGCCCCCGGGCCCGCGCCCGCCGAAGCGCCCUGGAACCCUGUCUGAAUAGUGAGUCUGAGUGAGAGAUUGAAUCAUUAAAACUUUCAACAACGGAUCUCUUGGUUCCGGCAUCGAUGAAGAACGCAGCGAAAUGCGAUAAGUAAUGUGAAUUGCAGAAUUCCGUGAAUCAUCGAAUCUUUGAACGCACAUUGCGCCCCCUGGCAUUCCGGGGGGCAUGCCUGUCCGAGCGUCAUUUCUGCCCUCCAGCACGGCUGGGUGAUGGGUGCUGUCCCCCCGGGGACACGCCCCAAAAGCAGUGGCGGCGCCGCGUCGGGUCCUCGAGCGUAUGGGGCUCUGUCACCCGCUCGGGAGGGACUCGGUCGGUGCUGGUCUUCCCCCAGGCGGCCCUUUGGGGCUCGUCUCUUCCGGUGAC